UGGCACGCCAGAUGUUUUGGACUACACCUCCCAUGAUGCCUUGCCAGCACUAUGGGUGUCAGAGCAUUAUGGGGGAUGUAGUCUAAAACAUCUGGAGUGCCG
rnacentral:miRNA from 1 species